UGGAGGCUCCCAGCGAGAACAGGUGCUGAGUGCGGACCUGCCCACCGGCCCUGGCACAGCCCGGCGACCCCUCCCCUCAUGCAUAUUAUAAGGAUUUCAGAAUGUUCUUACUUCUUCAUAUGAAGACUGGCUGAGUAGACACAGUUCCUUUUCCUCUUGGAAAGCCCCACAAAAGUGCCUCAUGCACCUGGUUACUUUGCCUUGCAGUGUCCCAGAGUUUUUGGAAAACUGGUCCCAGGAUCAGCUAGGAUACCCAGACGUUCUGAGAAUAUGGAGUCAUCAUCAUCGUGAGCUGAAAAAGAAACAUAUAGACAUAUAUGUGUCGCGUUUAAGAAAAAUAAAAAUAAUUUAUGACCUACACCAGAGGUUCCCAAACGCGGUCUUCAAGGCACCCCAACAGUCAAGGUUUUAGCUAUAUCCAUGGCUCAGCACAGAUGGUUAAAUCAAAUUUACUAGGGAGCUAAUUAAGUCACCUGUGGCCAAGCAUGGAUACAUUUAAAACCAGGACCGUUGGGGUGCCUUGAGGACCAAGUUUGGAAACCUCUGACCUACACAAAGAACAAUACACCAAUUAAAGGGAUGUAUAAUAAAGGUUUGAACUUACAUGCUUUGGAUACUAGUACACUAAUCAUUUCUAAGAGACAAACAUACUGAGCUAUUUGGCAUGGUUGCUGUGUAUGUAAUUGCGUUUUAGCACUAUCUGCCAUCUGCUAUUAGAAUGAUUUCAUAAUCCUGAUUUUUCUAC